rnacentral:rRNA from 1 species
GACGAACGCUGGCGGCGUGCCUAAUACAUGCAAGUAGAACGCUGAAGAGAGGAGCUUACUCUUCUUGGAUGAGUUGCGAACGGGUGAGUAACGCGUAGGUAACCUGCCUUGUAGCGGGGGAUAACUAUUGGAAACGAUAGCUAAUACCGCAUAACAAUGGAUGACACAUGUCAUUUAUUUGGAAGGGGCAAUUGCUCCACUACAAGAUGGACCUGCGUUGUAUUAGCUAGUAGGUGAGGUAAUGGCUCACCUAGGCGACGAUACAUAGCCGACCUGAGCGGGUGGUCGGCCACACUGGGACUGAGACACGGCCCAGACGCCUACGGGAGGCAGCAGUAGGGAAUCUGCGGCAAUGGGGGCAACCCUGACCGAGCAACGCCGCGUGAGUGAAGAAGGGUUUCGGAUCGGAAAGCUCUGUUGUAAGUCAAGAACGGGUGUGAGAGUGGAAAGUUCACACUGUGACGGUAGCUUACCAGAAAGGGACGGCUAACUACGUG